GAUGAACGCUGGCGGCGUGCCUAAUACAUGCAAGUCGAGCGAACAGACGAGGAGCUUGCUCCUCUGACGUUAGCGGCGGACGGGUGAGUAACACGUGGAUAACCUACUUAUAAGACUGGGAUAACUUCGGGAAACCGGAGCUAAUACCGGAGAAUAUAUUGAACCGCAUGGUUCAAUAGUGAAAGACGGUUUUGCUGUCACUUAUAGAUGGAUCCGCGCCGCUUUAGCUAGUUGGUAAGGUAACGGCUUACCAAGGCAACGAUGCGUAGCCGACCUGAGAGGGUGAUCGGCCACAUUGGAACGGGGACGCGGUCCAGGCUCCUACGGGAGGCAGCAGUAGGGAAUCUUCCGCAAUGGGCGAAAGCCUGACGGAGCAACGCCGCGUGAGUGAUGAAGGUCUUCGGAUCGUAAAACUCUGUUAUUAGGGAAGAACAAAUGUGUAAGUAACUAUGCACGUCUUGACGGUACCUAAUCAGAAAGCCACGGCUAACUACGUG
rnacentral:rRNA from 1 species